CUUGUUCAGCCCAGUCUGGAGUGGCAUGCUCUUCUUGGGUCAGCUGGAAGAUUCAGGCCCAGUCGCUUCUGAAGGUACAGGAAACUAAAAUUGAGCAAAGAAUAGUGUUUGAAACCAGCUGGAGUCCAGCCAGACUCUACUCAACUGCUAAUCUGUACUGCUCCCCUAGCAUUCUUCUAGUGAGCAAAACAAAAUGA
rnacentral:lncRNA from 1 species